rnacentral:misc_RNA from 1 species
GAUGAAGAACGCAGCGAAAUGCGAUAAGUAAUGUGAAUUGCAGAAUUCAGUGAAUCAUCGAAUCUUUGAACGCACAUUGCGCCCUCUGGUAUUCCGGGGGGCAUGCCUGUUCGAGCGUCAUUAUAACCACUCAAGCUCUCGCUUGGUAUUGGAGUUCGCGAUCUCGCGGCUCCUAAAAUCAGUGGCGGUGCCUGUCGGCUCUACGCGUAGUAAUACUCCUCGCGAUUGAGUCCGGUAGGUUUACUUGCCAGCAACCCCCAAUUUUUACAGGUUGACCUCGGAUCAGGUAGGGAUACCCGCUGAACUUAAGCAUAUCAAUAAGGGGAGGA